GUGACCUCAAAUCAGGUAGGACUACCCGCUGAACUUAAGCAUAUCAAUAAGCGGAGGAAAAGAAACUAACAAGGAUUCCCCUAGUAACUGCGAGUGAAGCGGGAAAAGCUCAAAUUUAAAAUCUGGCAGUCUUUUGGCUGUCCGAGUUGUAAUCUAAGAGAAGUGUUAUCCGCGCUGGACCAUGUACAAGUCUCCUGGAAUGGAGCAUCAUAGAGGGUGAGAAUCCCGUCUUUGACAUGGACUUCCAGGGCUUUGUGAUGCGCUCUCAAAGAGUCGAGUUGUUUGGGAAUGCAGCUCAAAAUGGGUGGUAAAUUCCAUCUAAAGCUAAAUAUUGGCGAGAGACCGAUAGCGAACAAGUACCGUGAGGGAAAGAUGAAAAGAACUUUGGAAAGAGAGUUAAACAGUACGUGAAAUUGCUGAAAGGGAAACGCUUGAAGUCAGUCGCGUCGUCCAGGGAUCAACCUUGCUUUUGCUUGGUGCACUUCCUGGUUUGAUGGGUCAGCAUCAAUUUUGACUAUUGGAAAAAGGUUAAGGGAAUGUGGCAUCUUUGGAUGUGUUUAUAGCCCUUGGUCACAUACAAUGGUUGGGAUUGAGGAACUCAGCACGCCGCAAG
rnacentral:rRNA from 1 species